GUUAAAUGUGCAUGUGCUGACCAACAUGAUCAAGGAGCUGGUCCAUUUUGGGGGAUUUCAGUCAAGAUUCCACACAGCGUCAGUUUAUGGUCCACUGGUUUCCUUUCUGCUCUUCGGGAUGUGUUUUUUGAUGGCAUUAGUACCUGCUCAUACUGCUCUUGUGAACUUGGAUAUGGAUCCACCAAUGACAGAAAAGGACCGGACUGCAUCUCACCUAUCUUCUCUAAAAGCUCUACUAUCAAAUAAAAAAUAUACAGUUCGCCUAGGUCUCCGUGUAACUCUUGUUGGUCCCAUAGAGCUUCUUGACCCACAGUUACUUCUCGCUCUACAGAAAGAGGCAGGCCUCUUCAACAUUGGAGGAAAUGGAGAAGUGUUUUCCUUGCGCAUAGUAAGAAUGAAGAAGAAUCAGGAUUGUCCCGAGAGUUAACUGAAGAACAAUGUUUCCCCUUAAUAUGAAGACUUUAUUUUUUUUCACCUCUGUAGCUUUGUGAUAAAACAGGACAUAGGCUACUUGUCCGUUGUGUAUGUAAUUUAUUAAAAUAUAACUUA